rnacentral:tRNA from 1 species
GGCUCGGUAGCUUAGUUGGUAAAGUACUUGAUAAGGGUCGUGAGUUCAAAUCUCACCUGAGCUG